GUUUCAGGCUCAUCGUGGGGUCUGGGUGGUACUCGUGUCAAUGUUGGUUGCAUACCCAAGAAACUAAUGCAUCAUGCAGCUCUCUUGGGUGAAGGAAUACGGGAUAGUAGGAGUUAUGGAUGGAAAGUAGAAGAGGAAAGACCAGAACUUGUUUAGUCACAGCUGUUGUCAGCUGUACAAGGUCAUAUCAAAUCACUAAAUUGGGGUCACAGAAUUCAACUAAAGACAAGUGACUUUACCAUCAACAUUUUGCAUCACGUGUUUCUUAGUCAUCAUUCUCAUGCUUCACUCUUAGAGCUAAGGCAUUACUUUGAAUGGCUUGACUGUUAUGCUUACCACUUCUAA